GAAUUUGAGGGUGACCUGGCUGUGACAAGCCACCCCACUGAUCACCAGUGUUUUUUUAACUGAUCUUACUGGCUUGCUGGGUGCCCCUUUCUCCUCCACAGUUCUACGUCUGUCCUUCCUGCAGCAGAACACUCGGUCAAAAAGGACAUUUCUUUUUUUUAACAUUAAAGAACAUUCCAUGUUGAUUUCUGUUUAGGUAAGUUUCAAAUUUCUAGGUUAUCUGAACCUCCUAGAA
rnacentral:sRNA from 1 species